UAUCGGAAGAAAGAUGAUGGAAAAGAUAAAGGGAUCUGUUCCAAGCCUCAUUUUAUACUUUUAAAAAAGCAAGACCCAUGAAUUUGCUCAAGAAGCUGAUGUGUCCAACACAAAACCAAUUACAAACCAAAGGGAAGGCAGAGGAUGGUUCUAUCCGUUCAAAGUCUGCCUUAUGCUGCUUCUGGUGCUUACAAAUGGGAAAAGAGGUGUUGGAGGUGAAGAUAUUGGUAGCCCACUAAUCCCUGGGAACACAGCAAUGAAUUCUCUUCUAGUCAACAAAAAUCUGAGAGGCCAUAAACGAGAGAUGUUAGGCACAGAAGCUGCUGCAACGGAUGAUAGUAUCAACUACAAGGCUUUUCAACGUGGGAACUCUCCACCAAACAACCCAGUGGGCAAGCAAGCCAAUCCUCAUCAGAGACCUUGUAACCCUGGUGAAUAUUGUCGACAAGGUAAAAAAGAAAAGAAGAACUAGCCACACAAAGUGCUAUAUCUGAUAUAAAGGCAUCUUAAGGUCAUGUUUGAUGCAUAGGAUGGUAAUCAUCUUAUACUAUAUUUGAUUUGAAUCUAAAGAAAGGGAUACAAUUGUAAGGAGGAUUAAUCAUCCUCUUAGCAUUGGAUGAUUCAAUCUUUCCAAAAUAGAUACGUUUAUUUUUAAUCCAUAAAAUUAAACUUACAUGUCUUA